ACAUUUAAAAAAAAUACUUUUUUUUACAUUGGCUCUAAUCUCCUGUAAAAAACGUGUAAAAAUAAAAGUUGUUUUGUCUUUAGUCAAUGCAGUGACGGUUUGUAGAUUGGGUCAUUUCCACUUUGAACUUCCAUAGUCCAAGUGUAGCAGGUUCUAUGGAACUACUUCCUGGUCUCGAACCAAUAGGAAUCCAAGAACGACAUCACCUGUCUUUUCCCUUUCGUCUGUCGUUGUGAUUGCUGUGCAGCCAAAAACUGCCGUGAAAGGUGCAUCAUGGGUCGCCUGGAUGGGAAAGUGAUUGUGCUGUCUGCUGCUGCGCAGGGAAUUGGACGUGCUGCAGCAAUUGCUUUUGCAAAUGAAGGAGCUCAGGUCACUGCAACAGACAUAAAUGGAGAAAAGCUGAAGAAGCUGGAAGGAAUUAGAGGAAUCAGAACCAAAGUGGUGGAUGUGACCAAAAAGGAGGAAGUAGAAGCUUUGGCUCAAGAACACGCUCAUGUGGAUGUGGUGUUCAACGUUGCAGUGUGUGUGUGUGUCCCACUCUCCUUCUCUUUAGAGAACAGCCCAACUUAUUUGUUCCUGUAAACGGUUGCCUCACUUGUUUACGCCCCUGCUUAAUCGCCACUCCAAAGUCCUUGCAUCGAAAGGGUUAAAUCUCAGCUUGUGCUGCUGUCAAUCCUUUUAAAAGGACUACUGCUGAUGCUUUGGUAAAGCACAGAGACUGAUGACAUUCACCUCAACCACAUUUCUAGUUUCCACCAUUGUGUUAUCCCCCAAUAAGAGGCAUUAUGGUCUGCAGCCUGUGAUGACAUGCACUAAAGCUUUAAAUGUUGGUACAGGUUUGUGCACCAUGGCAGCAUAACGUGAGGCAAUUCAACCACUGCAGCAGAUCUGUUGGAGCAGGAAAAGAUCUAAAACAUUCAGGACAGUGGCCCUCGAGGACCAGGAUUGAGACCAGUGAAAUACACUAGUACGGAAAUCCCAAAGCAAAACCCCUUCAAGAUAAUGGAGAAGCAAAAUCCCCCCCAGCAAACCCCCCGGCGCAAAAUAACCCCCCAAAACCCCCUCCCCAAUGAAACAACCCCCCACCCCGCCCCAGACCCCUGGUCUGGCACAGCGCCACAAACAGGGCCAAGGAGGCGCGCAGGGUGGCCUCAGAAAACCAAGUGAGUUAAAAAUGUUUGCUCAAAAACAUGACAUCAUCUUCAAUUAAUUGAUUAUAGUCAAUCAGAUCAAGAACUAACCGGAUAUUAUUGUGAAUUGAACAUCCUUUUAAGAAUCCUGAUUGUGUGUCCGAGAUGAUCUGAUUCAGUCCUGUUUUUAAUCUAGAUGCAUAAAUGUUGGUUAAAAUUUUAUAAUCACUAUUAAGGAGGGAUAUUGGCCUCAAAUUAUCAAUUAGUCUGGCGUCUUUCCCAGGUUUAGGAAUUAAGGUGAUGACGCCUUGCUUCAUAGUAGUUGGAAUGAAGUUUAACUGAGAAAUUUCCUUUAUGACCAACAGAAACUGCUCUUUCAAGUGUUCCCAGAAAUGUCUAUAAAAGUUAAUAGUAAGCCCAUCAGAUCCUGGAGAUUUAUCUAAAGCUAAACUUCUCAUGGCUUUUUCUGCUUCUUCCAUAGUGAUUUCUGCUUCACACACUUGUUUAAAGUUUUCAUUCACUUUAGGAGCCAAAUCCAGGAAGUAGUGGCGUAUAACCUGCUACACUUGGACUAUGGAAGUUCAAAGUGGAAAUGACCCAAUCUACAAACCGUCACUGCAUUGACUAAAGACAAAACAACUUUUAUUUUUACACGUUUUUUACAGGAGAUUAGAGCCAAUGUAAAAAAAAAAAGUAUUUUUUUAAAUGUUUUCCUCAUUAUUGAAGGCUAUUCCUUAAGUAUGCUGCGGUUUACUAAAAGCACUUACUCACUAAAAGUGGGAAUGUUGUAUAAUUCAGUUUACCUUUGAUAUACAAUCUUUAUUUUGCAAAUCUAAACUGUUUCCAUUUUUGUCUGAGAAUGUUUUCACUUAUACUUUCUGCACUACUUGUAUUAGGUCUACGAUAAACAUGCUGUGCUAAUAUUCAGGUAUACUUUUUAGAAUAAACUUGAAUUUACAGUACUACUUUUUGCUUAGGGAUUUGUCCAGUCUUAAUCUCCUUAUCACACCUUCACUUUGAAAUAUUGGGGGGGAAUAAAAAGAAAACAUUCUGUUUGUUUUACCUUAGCAAAACAUUUCGCAUAUUGAAUGCAAUAAAAAAUAAGUGAGUAAUAAUAGUAUAAUAAUAAUUUCAAGUAUAGUGCAUCACUUGUAGUAUAGACUUAUUUUUGUAAUAGACUUAAGUAGACUACUUUCUGCUAAAGGAAGUCAAGCAGAAGUUCCCAGAUGAAUAGUUUGUUUAUAUCUGUUGCAAAAAUCAAUUCUUCAUAGAUUUCCCGUAGCAAAGCAAAAUUGAAGAUGAGAUCUCGAUUCUGUCUCAUUUACGUCUCUUAGACAUAAAUGAGAACCAUUUGAGACUAAUCUGGUUUUCUCAUUCUUCUCAUAUACGUAACUCAAUUACAGUUUCAAGAGAGAAAAGUUAAAUCAUUUAGACAUUCAUGUCCUCAAGACAUCUUUUUGAAACUUUUUAUAAUACAUGAAGUUUCAAGACAAUGUUGCAAUGUCGAUUUAAUAAACUUUUCUUUUGACUGCUUAGAUAAACAUAAAUGAACAAGUAUGUAUGUUGGGUCAAUGAUGCUAGGUUUAGAUAAACAGAAACACACACAUGCACUGGCACACAUGCACGCACACACAAGAGCACACAUGCGUAUGUGGUGGUGUGUAUAAAAAAUUUAACAGAUUGAUGUCUGAACUAAAUUAAGGACAUUUGGGAUCAAAUUUGGAUCUGCUUAAAGUAAACAAAAAACAUGAUUGUGUAUUGGACCAAACAAAUAAAAUGAAUAAUUAAAAAGAAUAAAUACAUAAAACAACUGGGGGGGGGGCAGUUUGAGUUCAUUUAUCUUUGUCCUAAAAAAAAUCACCCUUCAUGCAGCCUCACAAGCUGAAAAUAUAUAUUUUUUCUUGAUUUUAGUCUGCAUCAUCUUGAACUAACACAGUGCUUUAUAAUUAUUUAUUUGCCAAGCCCCCCUAGGAAAAA